UGCAGUGUUACUCUACAUUCUUUACUGUAGUCCCCUGAAGAUCUGCAUGGUUUCCCAGCCUGUUCUCUGUGACUGCUGCUUAAAAUGUCCUACAAAACAAAGUGCAGCCAGCUCAUGAAUGACUUUUCAUUAAAAGACACCCGUCUCAUGACACAUCUAUGAACAUCCCAUUGGAGGCUACCAUCUCCUGCUAAGGGCAUGGAAGUAAACUCAGAAACUGAAACAGAUGCCUUCGCCCACAGAUUCUAAAAUCAGAGGGUAUUCAUAAACCGCCCCACAAAUUUGAGAGCAUAGUGGGAAACAGGAACUGUUAAAAAAA